GGAGCCGCGCUGCUGAGGAGGAGCCGCCGCCGCCUCAUCCUGCGGCACCGGCCGGCGGCGCGAAGGAGCCCGGCGAGCGCAGGUGGCAGUGUAGAAGCCAAGAACAAAAAUUGGCAGAAAUUAUAUUCUGUGUACGAGAAAAUGAAGAGUGUACUCAUGACUAAGCACAGGAACCUGGAAAACCACAGGCUGUAGAAAUUAGUCCGUGGGUCUGCAUUCCAGGAUUCCUGGGAAGCCAUGGAGGAUGGGACAAACUCAGAGCUGGAGCUUGAGGAUUUUUUAGAACUGAUGAGUGGGAAGUUAUCCUGGUAAGAAGUGUCAAAGUGGAAUUAUCACUGUUUAUGAAUAUAUUUAUACUUUUGCAUUUGGCUGUUCUUAUUCUAGUCUAAGAAGACAUUUUGUCUAAACCUUGAAAUUGAUUCCGAGAGAACGUGGUUAUACCACAAACGACAAAGUCACCUUGUGUUGGCUACCCUGCAGUAACUGGCCUUGGGCACAGUUUUAGUUGUCCCCAGUUGCAAAAUAAGUUGCACACAGAAUGAUUUAUUGCACUGUUAGAAUGGGCUAAGAGCAUACAUCCCAUUAGGUAUAACCAACCAGCUGUCGCCAAUAAACUGUUAAAUUACAGUAGCUUGGCAUCUUGAGAUUCUGGAAUCCAAAUCAAAAUGAUUUUUUUCUACCCACUGUUUAAAAUAACAUCCAGGAAACUAUACUUCAGGUAUAGCCUUGUGGGCACCCCAGCCCUGAAGCUGUAAGCUCGCUGUAGAGAGGCUGUAUCUCUGUUGGUGAAUAGUAAGCCACUGAUCUCUGAGUGGGGUUUGUGAGUCCCACCGAAAUGCUUUCAAAAUACAGCGUGCCUUGGAUAGAGUACCCUGAAGAGCUAUCACAGUUCUUAAUUUCAAUUUAAAAAAAAAAAAAAAAGUGAAUAAGUCUAGAUCUUCAGGGCUAUUCUGCAGGGGAGAGCUCUUCUAACCAUCUUUGCCUGGCCAUCAUGUUAUUGCUUGUCACCUGUUACUUCUAAGAGGAGACCCACUCAGGUAUAGGUGCGGAGAAAAAAGCAUCAGCACUAAUUUCUAUACAGCCCUGUAGGGUUUUUUUAAUUAUUAUUUCUUAUUGAGCGAAGGAGUUAAGUAUACUUUAAAAACUUACAUUAAUAGCCCUGAUAAAGUCAAUUGAACUGUAUGUAGUAUGGGUCAGCUUAUGCUUAUGGCUUUGUUGAACAUUGUUGAGUUCGUUAGUUUGUGCUAACACAUUUGCAACAGAAAAUGAAAAUGUCAUUUGUCAUUGGCACAAAAUUUUAAUGGGGUCUUCCAUUACAUCAAGUGUUCAAAAUAUUAAAUAAAAGAAAAAUGGUAACUAAGCAGUGUGAUGCUGAAGAGUUCAAUUUACAGACGCUUCUCUGUGCUAAUUAUGAAGUAUUGACAUAAAUGAAUGAAACUACUUGUUAAAGCGCCUUUUGCAGUGUAUAGCAGUUAUGUGUUCACAAGAUGAUUCAUAACAUUCAGCAAUUUGUGAUGAGUUUCCCUGCCAUUACUGGAGAUUACUAAGUAUCUAAUGUAUUUGCACUACACUGGGUUACUUUAAAUUAGAUUUGAUGGUGGAGAGGGAAGGAGAACCAUUUUCUAUCAACUGAAAAAUCAGGCUUGUUUUAUGAAUCGGUUAGUAUGGCAUUUCUCUUUACUGUAUAGUACAAUUUAUCCUUUACAAUAAAAUACAAAUGUUUAAUCAUCUUGCCUAUAAAUACAGCAGUGACAGUGUGUGUGUGGGAAACCCUCAAGACUUCUUUUGUGUUGAAAGUUGUGUACAUUAUAACUAAUAAAAUACAGCAGACUUGCUGUAGCUGAAAGUAGAAUUCAUAGUAAGAAAUCUAAAUUUGGAAUCUAAGUAUGUAAGGUCCCAUUUUGAAUCAGCAAGUCUUGGUUAUAUGGAAUGCUAUUUGAUUUGAUGCAGGAUGUAUUUGUAAGUACAGCUCCCAUUAACAGUGCAACAGAUGCUGCAUCUUGGAAAAAUGUCUUGCGCUUCUGCUUUGAACUGAAAGUUGUGGCUGGUUAUGUGUUCUGUUGUCUUAAGAAAACCGUGUUUAAGGGCUUGCACAAUCAGUCAUUUCACACUAUCAUAAAGAUGGCUGUAAUCUGUUAGAUUAUAAAGCAUGAUUGCCUGGCAGUUAUCGGAAAUGUCUGUUAAUGUAACCAGGGUUUUACACAAGAAAAAAUAAACUUUCUCACUCCUUAGUACUUGUA